GGGUUGUGAGGUUAAGCGACUAAGCGUACACGGUGGAUGCCCUGGCAGUCAGAGGCGAUGAAGGACGUGCUAAUCUGCGAUAAGCGUCGGUAAGGUGAUAUGAACCGUUAUAACCGGCGAUUUCCGAAUGGGGAAACCCAGUGUGUUUCGACACACUAUCAUUAACUGAAUCCAUAGGUUAAUGAGGCGAACCGGGGGAACUGAAACAUCUAAGUACCCCGAGGAAAAGAAAUCAACCGAGAUUCCCCCAGUAGCGGCGAGCGAACGGGGAGCAGCCCAGAGCCUGAAUCAGUGUGUGUGUUAGUGGAAGCGUCUGGAAAGGCGCGCGAUACAGGGUGACAGCCCCGUACACAAAAAUGCACAUGCUGUGAGCUCGAUGAGUAGGGCGGGACACGUGGUAUCCUGUCUGAAUAUGGGGGGACCAUCCUCCAAGGCUAAAUACUCCUGACUGACCGAUAGUGAACCAGUACCGUGAGGGAAAGGCGAAAAGAACCCCGGCGAGGGGAGUGAAAAAGAACCUGAAACCGUGUACGUACAAGCAGUGGGAGCACGCUUAGGCGUGUGACUGCGUACCUUUUGUAUAAUGGGUCAGCGACUUAUAUUCUGUAGCAAGGUUAACCGAAUAGGGGAGCCGAAGGGAAACCGAGUCUUAACUGGGCGUUAAGUUGCAGGGUAUAGACCCGAAACCCGGUGAUCUAGCCAUGGGCAGGUUGAAGGUUGGGUAACACUAACUGGAGGACCGAACCGACUAAUGUUGAAAAAUUAGCGGAUGACUUGUGGCUGGGGGUGAAAGGCCAAUCAAACCGGGAGAUAGCUGGUUCUCCCCGAAAGCUAUUUAGGUAGCGCCUCGUGAAUUCAUCUCCGGGGGUAGAGCACUGUUUCGGCAAGGGGGUCAUCCCGACUUACCAACCCGAUGCAAACUGCGAAUACCGGAGAAUGUUAUCACGGGAGACACACGGCGGGUGCUAACGUCCGUCGUGAAGAGGGAAACAACCCAGACCGCCAGCUAAGGUCCCAAAGUCAUGGUUAAGUGGGAAACGAUGUGGGAAGGCCCAGACAGCCAGGAUGUUGGCUUAGAAGCAGCCAUCAUUUAAAGAAAGCGUAAUAGCUCACUGGUCGAGUCGGCCUGCGCGGAAGAUGUAACGGGGCUAAACCAUGCACCGAAGCUGCGGCAGCGACGCUUAUGCGUUGUUGGGUAGGGGAGCGUUCUGUAAGCCUGUGAAGGUGUGCUGUGAGGCAUGCUGGAGGUAUCAGAAGUGCGAAUGCUGACAUAAGUAACGAUAAAGCGGGUGAAAAGCCCGCUCGCCGGAAGACCAAGGGUUCCUGUCCAACGUUAAUCGGGGCAGGGUGAGUCGACCCCUAAGGCGAGGCCGAAAGGCGUAGUCGAUGGGAAACAGGUUAAUAUUCCUGUACUUGGUGUUACUGCGAAGGGGGGACGGAGAAGGCUAUGUUGGCCGGGCGACGGUUGUCCCGGUUUAAGCGUGUAGGCUGGUUUUCCAGGCAAAUCCGGAAAAUCAAGGCUGAGGCGUGAUGACGAGGCACUACGGUGCUGAAGCAACAAAUGCCCUGCUUCCAGGAAAAGCCUCUAAGCAUCAGGUAACAUCAAAUCGUACCCCAAACCGACACAGGUGGUCAGGUAGAGAAUACCAAGGCGCUUGAGAGAACUCGGGUGAAGGAACUAGGCAAAAUGGUGCCGUAACUUCGGGAGAAGGCACGCUGAUAUGUAGGUGAAGUCCCUCGCGGAUGGAGCUGAAAUCAGUCGAAGAUACCAGCUGGCUGCAACUGUUUAUUAAAAACACAGCACUGUGCAAACACGAAAGUGGACGUAUACGGUGUGACGCCUGCCCGGUGCCGGAAGGUUAAUUGAUGGGGUCAGCGCAAGCGAAGCUCUUGAUCGAAGCCCCGGUAAACGGCGGCCGUAACUAUAACGGUCCUAAGGUAGCGAAAUUCCUUGUCGGGUAAGUUCCGACCUGCACGAAUGGCGUAAUGAUGGCCAGGCUGUCUCCACCCGAGACUCAGUGAAAUUGAACUCGCUGUGAAGAUGCAGUGUACCCGCGGCAAGACGGAAAGACCCCGUGAACCUUUACUAUAGCUUGACACUGAACAUUGAGCCUUGAUGUGUAGGAUAGGUGGGAGGCUUAGAAGUGUGGACGCCAGUCUGCAUGGAGCCGACCUUGAAAUACCACCCUUUAAUGUUUGAUGUUCUAACGUUGACCCGUAAUCCGGGUUGCGGACAGUGUCUGGUGGGUAGUUUGACUGGGGCGGUCUCCUCCUAAAGAGUAACGGAGGAGCACGAAGGUUGGCUAAUCCUGGUCGGACAUCAGGAGGUUAGUGCAAUGGCAUAAGCCAGCUUGACUGCGAGCGUGACGGCGCGAGCAGGUGCGAAAGCAGGUCAUAGUGAUCCGGUGGUUCUGAAUGGAAGGGCCAUCGCUCAACGGAUAAAAGGUACUCCGGGGAUAACAGGCUGAUACCGCCCAAGAGUUCAUAUCGACGGCGGUGUUUGGCACCUCGAUGUCGGCUCAUCACAUCCUGGGGCUGAAGUAGGUCCCAAGGGUAUGGCUGUUCGCCAUUUAAAGUGGUACGCGAGCUGGGUUUAGAACGUCGUGAGACAGUUCGGUCCCUAUCUGCCGUGGGCGCUGGAGAACUGAGGGGGGCUGCUCCUAGUACGAGAGGACCGGAGUGGACGCAUCACUGGUGUUCGGGUUGUCAUGCCAAUGGCAUUGCCCGGUAGCUAAAUGCGGAAGAGAUAAGUGCUGAAAGCAUCUAAGCACGAAACUUGCCCCGAGAUGAGUUCUCCCUGACUCCUUGAGAGUCCUGAAGGAACGUUGAAGACGACGACGUUGAUAGGCCGGGUGUGUAAGCGCAGCGAUGCGUUGAGCUAACCGGUACUAAUGAACCGUGAGGCUUAACCUUACAACGCCGAAG
rnacentral:rRNA from 1 species